UGACGCCCAUAUCAUGUUGAAACACUAUUUCCCGUACUAUCACAGAAGUUAAGCAACAUUGACCGUGGUCAGUACCAAAAUGGGUGAUCGCCUCGGAAUAUCUCUUGCUGUAAG